CCGAACCGCCGACACGAGUUGUUGCUGGCCCUCAAACGGGGGCAAGUGCACGCUCUGUUUGCACAUCCACUCACACCUGUGCACCUUCCCUGUAGUUCUGUGGCCUGAAGGACUCUGUCCUCUUGCUGUAGCUCUGCAUCUUUACACACACACUGUAACAAAGUCUUAUGGAAUGUGAUGCCGCGUUUAACGCAAUACAAUA
rnacentral:misc_RNA from 1 species